GAAGAAUCAGACAGCUCCAUCUAUUUAGGGUUCCCCUGCACCUCCCUUGCUCCUCUGAAUCCGAUCAGCUCUGUAGAAAGCAACCAAGUUUCUUCUGUGAAGCCUCCCUACACCCAGCAUGGGAUCAAAGUAGUGAAACGGAGCCUAGCUGCCAUGAGAUGUUCCCGCCGUCUGCUUCUUCCUCCUUGUUCCUGUCUCUGCACACGUCUUAGCGUUCUUCCUUGUUCAUCUCUGUAGGGUGCAGAUGGGACCAUUGCCAUGAUCACCACCGUCAGAGUCCACUUACUGAACGCCUGCCCUGUGCUAACCACCACGUUUGCAACUUGACAUGAACUACGUCAUAUACUCCUCACAAAACCUAGCGAAGCAGAAGUAUCGCCCCGCUUUAAUGAUGGUGACACUGAGGCAAAGACAGUUUAACAGGCUGGCCAAAGCCCGCACAGAUGAGUGGGUCUUUGAACUGUAAGCUUCUCUCUUCUGAAGGGAAUUUAGAACCUUCAGAAAAAUUGUGACAGAGGCACAGGUACUUUAAGCACCCUUCAGUACCCCUUCCUAACUUCCUUUCUCUCUCUUUCUUUUCUUUCUUCCCUCCCUCCUGCCCUCCCUUCCUCCCUCCUUCUCUUCCUCUUUCUGUCUUCCUUUCUUGCUUGCUUGCUUUCUGUACUGGAGCUGAACCCAGGGCCUUCCACUGAGCUACAUCCCCAACACGUUUUCAUUUUUUGAGACAGGGUCUCCCUGAGUUGUCCAGGCUGGCCUUGAACUCGUGCUCCUCCUGGCUAACUGGGAUCACAGGCAUACACCGUAGCAUCUGGCUCAAUACCCUCCUUCCCACCACCGGGAAACUACUGUUCUCCACAGCUUUCUCCAACUGCCAGGAAUCUCAUCACUCCCAACCGUAUCUUUCUUGUGUCCUUUUCAGCAAGUGGAAGGGAGGCUUAGCAAAGUCUCAGCACCAGCUAUACUCUGAAGGCAGGGAAACCGUUUGCUUCUCUUUUUCCAACACUCAGCUUCGGUGUCUAAGCCACGGUCCAGUCCUUUGGAAGGAGCUGGGUAAUACGUUGUUAACUGGAAAACAAGCAAUCUUCACUUCCUGUCUCUUCAAGUCAGCAGUCCAGGGAUCAGGACCACAAACCUGUCUCUGGGACAGGCCCGAAGAGAUGGUGGCCUUUAGGUGGGCAGAGAAGAGAGCUGUCAGCGUCCAAGAAAGCCAAGGUCUGGGCAGCCUCCCAGAUGCCUAGGAGCUUUUCCUCUUGCAAUCCGUGCCCCAUGGGACACGUUCCUCCUCCUCAGGGUGGAUCAGACCGACUGACUCACCUCUAACACACUUUGGCCAGACCGAUGGCAUCAUGAAAGCCUACGAAGACACUCCAGGUCCAUCGCAGAGCUCCCUCCCCACGCGGCCUCUUAAAUCAUGUGUUCUCGGGGAAUUUAUCUACCCUGCCGUGAACAGCACCAUCAAAGGGUCACCUGGAAUGUAAACUAGUACAACCAUCGUGGGUGUUGGUAUGGGGAGGACUCGAAAAACUAAAAGCAGAUAAACGGCAUUGUUGUUUAUCACAAACGUGUGAAUCAAAAAGGAAAUGCCCGUGUGAUGCGCAACUCCAGACUUGCAGCAGGCAG
ensembl:lncRNA